rnacentral:lncRNA from 1 species
UUGAGGCUGGGAUAUAUGGCUCAGGCAUCAUGCGCGUGUAGGGGGCAGUUAAAAAGCAGAAGUAAGAAAGAUUGCCUAGGGAGGCAGGAAGGGUGAGGUGAGAGGAGAAGAGGCCCAGGACCAGAUUCUAGUCACCAACAGCGUUUAAGGGGCAGGUAAGGAAAACAAAACCAUCAGCAAAGACUGAGAAUGAAAGCCCAGAGAGGAAGGAAAAGCCACACAUCCAAUCAGUACAGCUCCAUCUGAAUAAAGGUAGCGCCCCCCUCCCCCAAAUCAUUAGACAAAUGCCUGAAUCGUGUUUUCUGUUGAUAUUUCCUAAGCACCUAGAUGUAGGGAAUAGAAAUAAAUGGCUCCCUCUGUCUCAUCCCCUUCCUGCCCUCUGAGAGGCAGCUAUGAAUGCGUGCUUCCUUUCUGGGGGUGCAGAUACUUUCUGGACCAACCCUCAGUACCGUCUGAAGCUCCUGGAGGAGGACGAUGACCCUGAUGACUCGGAGGUGAUUUGCAGCUUCCUGGUGGCCCUGAUGCAGAAGAACCGGCGGAAGGACCGGAAGCUAGGGGCCAGUCUCUUCACCAUUGGCUUCGCCAUCUACGAGGUUCCCAAAGAGGUAUAGCAGCAGCAGCGGCCAGCAGUUGUGUGCAGCACUACCCAGGGGGCCCCGAGUCUGUCUGUGGCUCGUCGAGAAGCUUCCUGGUUGGGUUUGUGGGCAGGACUGUGAUAGGAGAGGGCCUUGCCUGUGUUAUUUCCACUGCAGAGCAGGUGCCUCAGGGCAUUGCAUGACCCAUGACUACCACCCCCAGGAUGUGCACUUUCUCCCUCGCACCAGACACUCUGCACGUCACACACACGCCUUUGCACACUCACCCUCCUCCACGCUUACAGCCACACACACAGUCACACAGACGCGUUCUGAGGGUGGCUGCCCGCUUGGGAUGGAGGAAUCACUUCCCUCAGAACCCAGCCAAGUCCUCUAGGCCUCCUUGGGGGUCCUUCCAGCCUGAGGGGCUUCGGAGCUGAGGAGCAGCUGUUCUGAUGCAUGGGAACAAGCAGCACCUGCAGAAGGACUUCUUCCUGUACAACGCCUCCAAGGCCAGGAGCAAAACCUACAUCAACAUGCGGGAGGUGUCCCAGCGCUUCCGCCUGCCUCCCAGCGAGUACGUCAUCGUGCCCUCCACCUACGAGCCCCACCAGGAGGGGGAAUUCAUCCUCCGGGUCUUCUCUGAAAAGAGGAACCUCUCCG